rnacentral:rRNA from 1 species
AUUGAACGCUGGCGGCAUGCCUAACACAUGCAAGUCGAGCGGAGUGGCGAACGGGUGAGUAAUGCCUCGGAACCUGCCUGGUAGCGGGGGAUAACGUCCCGAAACCGUAGCUAAUACCGCAUACUAUCAGAUCAGCCUAGGUCGGAUUAGCUAGUUGGUGGGGUAAAGGCCUACCAAGGCGACGAUCCGUAGCUGGUUUGAGAGGACGACCAGCCACACUGGGACUGAGACACGGCCCAGACUCCUACGGGAGGCAGCAGUGGGGAAUUUUGGACAAUGGGGGAAACCCUGAUCCAGCCAUGCCGCGUGUGCGAUGAAGGCCUUCGGGUUGUAAAGCACUUUUGGCAGGAAAGCGGUACCUGCAGAAUAAGCACCGGCUAACUACGUGCCAGCAGCCGCGGUAAUAC